GGAUGCGAGGGGUGAUUUGGCUGUGACAGCCAUCACUCCAUGAUCACCAGGGUUGAUUCGGCUGAUCUGGCUGGCUAGGCAGGUGGCCCCUUCCUCCCUUACCGCUCCAUGUGCAUCCCUCCUGAAGCUGCAUGCUUGGUUGAAGAGGAUGGCCUUCCCCGAAUAGAGAUGGACAGGUCUUUGGUAUACGAGUAGCUGUGCAUCCCUGAUAGAACCUCCAAACAAGCUCUCAAAAGCCAGAUAAGGGCAAGAGACCAGCACACUUUAAAUGAUGGCUCUUU
rnacentral:snRNA from 1 species